rnacentral:rRNA from 1 species
GACAGAGGGUGCAAACGUUGUUCGGAAUUAUUGGGCGUAAAGAGCUCGUAGGCGGUUUGUCGCGUCUGCUGUGAAAGCCCGGGGCUCAACCCCGGGUCUGCAGUGGGUACGGGCAGACUGGAGUGCAGUAGGGGAGACUGGAAUUCCUGGUGUAGCGGUGAAAUGCGCAGAUAUCAGGAGGAACACCGAUGGCGAAGGCAGGUCUCUGGGCUGUAACUGACGCUGAGGAGCGAAAGCAUGGGGAGCGAACAGG